rnacentral:rRNA from 1 species
UACGUAGGGGCCGAGCGUUGUCCGGAGUUACUGGGCGUAAAGCGCGCGCAGGCGGCUCGUCAAGCCUGACGUGAAAGCCCCCGGCUCAACCGGGGAGGGUCGUCGGGGACUGGCGGGCUUGAGGUCGGCAGGGGUUGGUGGAAUUCCCGGUGUAGCAGUGAAAUGCGUAGAUAUCAAGUGGAACACCAGUGGCGAAGGCGAGUCUCUGGACAUUUCCUGACGCUGAGGCACGAAAGCCAGGGGAGCAAACGGG